AAAUACUCUUCAGUACAAAGAAGUAAAACGCAUUGGGGCGAAGAUUUGUAAUUUUGCACAGCAAGCAAACAGAAAAACUCAAACAAAUUUAACACCAAGUCGUUCAGGUAGCGUGUGGUCUCGUCGCCGUAACUUAAAAGAUCAACUUAUCAGCCCAUCCAAUUGGCGAAGAUAUACGAGCGAAGUUUUUGACGAGUCUGAAACCGAAGACCUGAAUACUGAAAAAGUAGACUGGUAUUUGGGAUCCACACGAGCGGUGUUUGUAAUACAACCGUACGAAGCAGAAGAUGUGAGCAAGGACGUUUAUAUAUCCACCCCACACAUAACUAACCCACAACUUGAACUCGAUGAAUCUGUCGCGCUGGUCGAGACUUUACCAGAUUGGAAAGUACAUGGUAGUGUUAUCUUACGCAUACG